AGCAAGAUAAUUUCACUUACCAAGCAAUAAAAUGAAAAAUAAAGCAGCCGAAAUACUGCAUGUGGAACAGAUGAGUGCCUUAUUUAAGUUUAGUCUACCAUCCUUGACGCAACCAAAGAGUAUAAAACAAAUGACUACCCAUGCGAACCAGAUUGUAACCACUAAAUCUUUUUUUGAGUUAUACAAGCCGACCGCAAUCACCUUUACACAUUGUGCCAAGGAAAUUACAGUCACCUUUAUACAUUGUGCCAAAAAAAUUACAGUUACUUUGACUGCCUUGAUCCAAGUUUCAUAGAAGCCUAAUGAGUUAGUGAAUGAACGUAAGAAUAGUCCUAUCGUGUCACUUACACCAUAAAGAAAUAAAAAUCAUUAGGCAAAUAGCAUACCACACUCCAAAAUAUACCCAUUCAUCUUUGCCAUAAUCUUUAAAGAGAGCGUCCUUAUACGUUAGAUAACAAACUGCGGGUACGUUUAGCACAAAGAUUGAAAUGAAUGAUAAAAAUGCUUUUUUCAACGGAGAGGUAGAAGAAUUAUCUGCCGUCCCGGAAGAAUGGUUUUCUCUAUGUGUGUUAGGAGGAUUAUUUACAAGUGCGUGAUCUGUUUGAAUUAAUAUAAUGAAAUACUUUAGUAAAGAAAGAACAUGUAUCAAAGUGUGUGCAUUGCAUGGCCGACUAUAAACAAUGAUCACAUCCAAGUUAUUUUACAGCAC